rnacentral:rRNA from 1 species
UAAUCUCGGGAAAGUAUCAUAGUGAUUUAAAUAAUUGAUAACUAUGAUACCCCGAAACUGAGGAUAAUGUUUCAUAGUUGAAUAGGCUUGGAAAAGUUUUUCAAUGAAAGGAAUAAGAUAAAUGGAUCUUAUUUGCCAUAGGAUAGGAUCGUGGUCGAUUAUGGUAGUUGGUGAGAUAACGGCUCACCAAGCCGAUAAUCGAUAGGGGCCGUGAGAGCGGGAGCCCCAAGAUGGGUACUGAGACAGCGACCCAGGCCUUACGAGGCGCAGCAGGCGCGAGACCUCCGCAAUACACGAAAGUGUGACGGGGUUACCCAAAGUGUUCUCUUAAGAACUGUGGCAGGUGAGUAAUGUCCCCUGCUAGAAAGGAGAGGGCAAGGCUGGUGCCAGCCGCCGCGGUAACAUGAGCCGUAUCAGUGCCGUAGGGAAACCGUUAAGUGUGCCGCCUGGGAAGUACGGUCGCAAGGC